rnacentral:rRNA from 1 species
GAUGAACGCUGGCGGCGUGCCUAAUACAUGCAAGUCGAGCGAACGGACGAGAAGCUUGCUUCUCUGAUGUUAGCGGCGGACGGGUGAGUAACACGUGGAUAACCUACCUAUAAGACUGGGAUAACUUCGGGAAACCGGAGCUAAUACCGGAUAAUAUUUUGAACCGCAUGGUUCAAAGGUGAAAGACGGUCUUGCUGUCACUUAUAGAUGGAUCCGCGCUGCAUUAGCUAGUUGGUAAGGUAACGGCUUACCAAGGCAACGAUGCAUAGCCGACCUGAGAGGGUGAUCGGCCACACUGGAACUGAGACACGGUCCAGACUCCUACGGGAGGCAGCAGUAGGGAAUCUUCCGCAAUGGGCGAAAGCCUGACGGAGCAACGCCGCGUGAGUGAUGAAGGUCUUCGGAUCGUAAAACUCUGUUAUUAGGGAAGAACAUAUGUGUAAGUAACUGUGCACAUCUUGACGGUACCUAAUCAGAAAGCCACGGCUAACUACGUGCCAGCAGCCGCGGUAAUACGUAGGUGGCAAGCGUUAUCCGGAAUUAUUGGGCGUAAAGCGCGCGUAGGCGGUUUUUUAAGUCUGAUGUGAAAGCCCACGGCUCAACCGUGGAGGGUCAUUGGAAACUGGAAAACUUGAGUGCAGAAGAGGAAAGUGGAAUUCCAUGUGUAGCGGUGAAAUGCGCAGAGAUAUGGAGGAACACCAGUGGCGAAGGCGACUUUCUGGUCUGUAACUGACGCUGAUGUGCGAAAGCGUGGGGAUCAAACAGGAUUAGAUACCCUGGUAGUCCACGCCGUAAACGAUGAGUGCUAAGUGUUAGGGGGUUUCCGCCCCUUAGUGCUGCAGCUAACGCAUUAAGCACUCCGCCUGGGGAGUACGACCGCAAGGUUGAAACUCAAAGGAAUUGACGGGGACCCGCACAAGCGGUGGAGCAUGUGGUUUAAUUCGAAGCAACGCGAAGAACCUUACCAAAUCUUGACAUCCUUUGACAACUCUAGAGAUAGAGCCUUCCCCUUCGGGGGGGCAAAGUGACAGGUGGUGCAUGGUUGUCGUCAGCUCGUGUCGUGAGAUGUUGGGUUAAGUCCCGCAACGAGCGCAACCCUUAAGCUUAGUUGCCAUCAUUAAGUUGGGCACUCUAAGUUGACUACCGGUGACAAACCGGAGGAAGGUGGGGAUGACGUCAAAUCAUCAUGCCCCUUAUGAUUUGGGCUACACACGUGCUACAAUGGACAAUACAAAGGGCAGCGAAACCGCGAGGUCAAGCAAAUCCCAUAAAGUUGUUCUCAGUUCGGAUUGUAGUCUGCAACUCGACUACAUGAAGCUGGAAUCGCUAGUAAUCGUAGAUCAGCAUGCUACGGUGAAUACGUUCCCGGGUCU